GAAAGAUUGGGAAGUUGAAAAAGCACAGGA
rnacentral:piRNA from 1 species